rnacentral:rRNA from 1 species
UACGAAGGGGGCUAGCGUUGUUCGGAAUUACUGGGCGUAAAGCGCGCGUAGGCGGUUUUGCAAGCCAGAGGUGAAAUGCCUGAGCUCAACUUAGGAAUUGCCUUUGGGACUGCGAGGCUUUGAGGACUGGAGAGGUGAGUGGAAUUCCCAGUGUAGAGGUGAAAUUCGUAGAUAUUGGGAAGAACACCAGUGGCGAAGGCGGCUCACUGGCCAGUUUCUGACGCUGCAGCGCGAAAGCGUGGGGAUCAAACAGGAUUAGAUACCCUGGUAGUCCACGCUGUAAACGAUGAGUGCUAGGCGUCGGCACGCUUGCGUGUCGGUGCCGCAGCUAACGCGUGAAGCACUCCGCCUGGGGAGUACGGUCGCAAGAUUA